AGUCAGUCAGUUCCAGUGUUGUUUCAUUGUCCAGCCAUCCAGCAAUUCUUUAUUUGUUGACCUUGAUUUAAAUGGAGAGGAUAAAUGUAUGUAAGUGAGCCGAAACUGAGAGCUGUCGUCUGUAUGCUAUGCCCGAAGGAUGUAUUAUGUAUGUACAAACUGAAAACAACUUGUAUUUUCUCUCUGUAAGGCAAGAAUGCCGUUUGUAAUAGAGGAAGCUGCACAUUAUUUAUCUAGCAUGUUUUGGUAAUUCUAAGCUGGAAAAAUGCCUGCAUGCUUGCUGCCCAUUCAUCUGCACAUUGUUAGUUUGUCAUCUUCGUGUUCCCCUUUCUAGUUCUACUAGUUGUAUGCUUCAUCUGCUCACCAUAUUUCUAGUAGUGUAGUUAUCAGGAAAAAAAUUGAAAGCCUGCCAGGAUUCUUAACUCUGAAGGGAUGGUGCUGUGGCUUUGGCUUUGCGCCCUGCGAUUCUGCGACCGACCAACAGCUAGCUAUGAAUUCCGCCCACAUGGUUAGCGCUGGAUUUGCUCGCCCGUGGUCCAUGGUUACACGCAGCAGUGCGGGUGCAGUGUAGGCGCAGUACAGCUGGGUGGAAUCGCACGGAGCGCAGGCACAAGGGUGCGCCAUGCCACAUAGUACUUGACAAAAGAUAUGACUGCACAUGCACGUGCCAUGCCAUGUUCGCCGCUGCCUGCCGGCCCCGGCCCCAGCGCACCGCUCGCUAAUGCUAAAUGGCCUGCUGCUUGAUCCACAGAGCCAUCUAUAUAUAGAAUUAGUAGAUCCUAAUAACACCGGUAGUUUGUUUGCUGCUGCCGGACGCUGAGCACGGGCAUGCACAGUCCAAUUCUGGCUCCUGCCGCACCCGCAUCCGGCACUUCGAUCUUUCUGCGAUCGAUCCCUUUCGAGCCUCCCUUCUUGCUGUCGGUGGCUCAUCCUGAUCUGAUCUGAAUAUCUGAUCAGGGCUUGCAUGAUGGUUAGGUUAGGUUAGGAUAGGGUAGAUUAGGCUUUAGAGGUUAGGUGGCACGUACCUUCCGCAUCCAGCUUCUUCUCCAUUAUUUUUCCCCUUUGACGUACAAUGAUUUGAUUGAUGCACAAAAGAAAGGGAGGCUGCAUAUAUGGCUCGUGGGUGCGUAACUAAUCAAUCAAUGAUGAUCGGCGGGGAAAAAAGAGGUAAAGGCAGGCGUCGCGUCGGUCAUGGAAAUGAUCAAGGUUUGCGUGUGUGUACGCAUGGGUGGUUGCGGUUGACGGUGAAGUGAACCGUACGUCGACGUCGAUCCGAUGGGACGCGCCAACGAACGAGCGGAGACCCGGCCAGCCGGUGCCAUCUGUGCUUGCCUUGCCUCGAACAACCAUCGUCGGUGCGCUGGUUAAUCCUCGGUACUACUACCAGUCGGUAAUGCUGCCUACCAGCUUAGCUUCAGAUUUGAUCUUGCCUGCGGCCUGUCAGUGGGUGGACUGGCCGGCGUUGUGUAAGAUGCAACUUGUGUGUAUGCUCCCUGCGCCUGCGCGUUUGUAGCACUAGCACGUACUAAUUCGCUUGUAAUUUCUCGACAAGCAUACGUACGUACGUACAUACUCCAUUAUGCAGACAAGUCGAAUCGAAGGGAAAGAGCUACGUACCUAGUGCUACUGUGAGUAGCCAGGAGGCUCGAUCAGACCGCUGCUCUUGAUCAGUCCCUCUCUAUCAUCUUGCUUACCGGAAAAGAUGACAAGAGCUUGAUUGAUUAAUCAGCCGGCCCGCCGGCCGGCCGGAGAAUACGAUUAUAAUGUAGUCUGUGUGCAAGUUGGGCACCACGCAUGCCAUCUUCACGCCUAGCCAUGUACAUUAACCACGACCUGGAUCUGGAACGCCCUAAAAGAAUGCAUGCAUGGAACCUUCCUCCGAUCCGGCUUUACUUACUCGAGCGCUGAAAAGAGUAAUUUUCUUUUACCUGCUCGAUCGCUGAAUAGAGUAUGUGGCUACUACUACUUGGCACGUACUUUUAGUGGUCAACGCGCGCAAAUGGCCAGUAUAGUUAGCGAAGCAGAUUGAGAUAGAUGGACUAAAUCAAUAUGCUCUACGGAUCUACAUGUAGUUUUUAUUAUUUUCUAUGUUCGUUAUAUUAUCAUGAUUGAAGAUGAAUAGAUCGGCCGCCCUAUCCACCGUAUCUGGUGCAUACAUGGCAGAAUCAAUGACCAGAUGAUUAUCCAAAUCAAAUCAAAGAGUCACUCAUCCUACUGUCAGUCGUCGUCCGGCUCAGACCGAGCAGCAGCAGCAUCGAGCUAGCAUUUAAUUCCAUCUCUGUCUGGCUGCAAAUGGGAUACCACCAUCUUCAAAUUAAGUUUAAUUAAGCAAUACUACUGGUAGAACUCCAUCUACUAGCAAUAGAAAAAUCCAUCCAUUGUCCUCUGUAACAGCGCUCUGAAAACGUAAAAGAAUGGAACCUUCUCAUCAGAUUUUUACUCGGCUGGCACUUAGUUCAGUAGUCAACGCGAAUGGCUAGAUGGCUACUAGCUGGCUAGCUUGCUAGACAACUGGAUGUAUAGAUAGACUAGGUUGGUCAUAGUGGUGAUGACAUAGAGACCUUCAUUUAUUAUUUUAUAAUUAUUUUUCAUUGGAUAAUAUUCCCUCUGUAGAGAUAUAAAAUCGUUUAGAUCAGUAGCUUCAUAUGUCUCUCUCUUCUUUAAUUAAAAAAAACUCGACCAAGGGGAGAGAAAUCCCGAAGGCAUUAUAUUGUAAGGUCGAGAAAAGGCCCCGAACACCGGCUUACGCAGCGCAAGUAUACGCAGCGAGGGGCCUUUUUUUGUAAGAACCAGGAUUUGAACCCUGGUUGAUAGCCCCGCUCCAGGAGGUUUAGGGUUUAGGGUUCACAUCAUCCUUUUUCGCCUAUAUGGCAUGCAUAUUACUUUCUUUUUGCAGGAAAACAUUUGAUCUAUUCAUCUUCAAUCAUGGUAGUACAACGAACAUCAGAAAUAAUUAAAAUUACAUCCAGAUUCAUAGACCACCUAGCGACGACUACAAGCACUGAAGCGAGCCGAAGGCGCGCCGCCGUCAUCGCCCCUCCUUCACCGGAGCAGAGCAAAACUUGUUGUAGUAGACAGUCAGGAAGUCUUUGUGCUAAGGCCCCAUCGGACCAGCGCAUCAGAACAACAACUAUCGCCGAUGAAGAGCGUAGAUCGGAAGGAUCCAAUCUGAAGACACAAAAACGUAGACCAACGACGAUCAGAUCCAAGCAAAUCCACCAGAAGUAGAUCCACCGGAGACACAUCUCCACACACCCACCGACGAUGUUGUUGGGGAACGUAGUAAUUUCAAAAUUUUCCUACGUACACACAAGAUCAUGGUGAUGCAUAGCAACGAGAGGGGAGAGUGUGUCCACGUACCCUCGUAGACCGAAAGCGGAAGCGUUAGCACAACGCGGUUGAUGUAGUCGUACGUCUUCACGAUCCGACCGAUCCAAGUACCGAACGCACGACACCUCCGAGUUCAGCACACGUUCAGCUCGAUGACGUCCCGCGAACUCCGAUCCAGCAGAGCUUCAUGGGAGAGUUCCGUCAGCACGACGGCGUGAUGACGGUGAUGAUGUUGCUACCGACGCAGGGCUUCGCCUAAGCACCGCUACGAUAUGAUCGAGGUGGAAUAUGGUGGAGGGGGGCACCGCACACGGCUAAGAGAUCAAGAGAUCAAUUGUUGUGUCUCCAAGGGGUGCCCCCUCCCCGUAUAUAAAGGAGUGGAGGAGGGAGAUGGGGCCGGCCUCCCUAGGCGCGCCCCAUGAGGAGUCCUACUCCCACUGGGAGUAGGACUCCCCCCUUCCAAGUGGGAGUAGGAGAGGAGAGGGAAGGAGAGAGAGGGGGAAAGGAAAGGGGGGCGCCGCCCCCUCCUUGUCCAAUUCGGACUGGGGGGAAGGGGGCGCGCGGCUGCCCUUGGCCGCCCCUCCUCUUCUCCACUAGGGCCCAAUAGGCCCAUGAGUCUCCCCGGGGGGUUUCGGUAACCCCCCGGUACUCCGGUAUAUGUCCAAAACUCCCCGAAACCAUUCCGGUGUCCGAACAUAGUCAUCCAAUAUAUCGAUCUUUACGUCUCGACCAUUUCGAGACUCCUCGUCAUGUCCGUGAUCACAUCCGGGACUCCGAACUACCUUCGGUACAUCAAAACACAAAAACUCAUAAUACAAUCGUCAUCGAAACUUUAAGCGUGCGGACCCUACGGGUUCGAGAACUAUGUAGACAUGACCGAGACAUGUCUCCGGUCAAUAACCAAUAGCGGAACCUGGAUGCUCAUAUUGGCUCCUACAUAUUCUAUGAAGAUCUUUAUCGGUCAAACCGCAUAACAACAUACGUUGUUCCCUUUGUCAUCGGUGUGUUACUUGCCCGUGAUUCGAUCGUUGGUAUCUCAAUACCUAGUUCAAUCUUGUUACCGGCAAGUCUCUUUACUCGUUCCGUACUGCAUCAUCCCACAACUAACUCAUUAGUCACAUUGCUUGCAAGGCUUAUAGUGAUGUGCAUUACCGAGAGGGCCCAGAGAUACCUCUCCGACAAUCGGAGUGACAAAUCCUAAUCUCGAAAUACGCCAACUCAACAAGUACCUUCGGAGACACCUGUAGAGCACCUUUAUAAUCACCCAGUUACGUUGUGACGUUUGGUAGCACACAAAGUGUUCCUCCGAUAAACGGGAGUUGCAUAUUCUCACAGUCAUAGGAACAUGUAUAAGUCAUGAAGAAAGCAAUAGCAACAUACUAAACGAUCAAGUGCUAAGCUAACGGAAUGGGUCAAGUCAAUCACAUCAUUCUCCUAUUGAUGUGAUCCCGUUAAUCAAAUGACAACUCAUGUCUAUGGCUUAGGAAACUCAACCAUCUUCGAUUAACGAGCUAGUCAAGUAGAGGCAUACUAGUGACACUAUGUCUAUGUUUCCGGUUAAUACAAUUCUAGCAUGAAUAAUAAACAUUUAUCAUGUAAUAAGGAAAGAAAUAACAAAUUUAUUAUUGCCUCUAGGGCAUAUUUCCUUCAGUCUCCCACUUGCACUAGAGUCAAUAAUCUAGUUCACAUCGCCAUGUGAUUUAACACCAAUAGUUCACAUCACCAUGUGAUUAACACCCAUAGUUCACAUCGUCAUGUGACCAACACCCAAAGGGUUUACUAGAGUCAAUAAUCUAGUUCACAUCGCUAUGUGACUAACACCCAAAGAGUACUAAGGUGUGAUCAUGUUUUGCUUGUGAGAGAAGUUUAGUCAACGGGUCUGCCACAUUCAGAUCCGUAUGUAUUUUGCAAAUUUCUAUGUCAACAAUGCUCUGCACGGAGCUACUCUAGCUAAUUGCUCCCACUUUCAAUAUGCAUCCAGAUUGAGACUUAGAGUCAUCUGGAUCAUUGUCAAAAUUUGCAUCGACGUAACCCUUUACGACGAACCUUUUGUCACCUCCAUAAUCGAGAAACAUAUCCUUAUUCCACUAAGGAUAUCUUUGACCGCUGUCCAGUGAUCUACUCCUAGAUCACUAUUGUACUCCCUUGCCAAACUCAGUGUAGAGUAUACAAUAGGUCUGGUACACAGCAUGGCAUACUUUAUAGAACCUAUGGCUGAGGCAUAGGGAAUGACUUUCAUUCUCUCUCUAUUUUCUGCCGUGGUUGGGUUUUGAGUCUUACUCAAUUUCACACCUUGUAACACAGGCAAGAACUCUUUCUUUGCCUGUUGCAUUUUGAACCACUUCAAAAUCUUGUCAAGGUAUGUACUCAUUGAAAAAACUUAUCAAGCGUCUUGAUCUAUCUCUAGAUCUUGAUGCUCAAUAUGUAAGCAGCUUCACCAAGGUCUUUCUUUGAAAAAACUCCUUUCAAAUACUCCUUUAUGCUUUCCAGAAAAUUCUACAUUAUUUCCGAUCAACAAUAUGUCAUUCACAUAUACUUAUCAGAAAUGCUGUAGUGCUCCCACUCACUUUCUUGUAAAUACAGGCUUCACCGCAAGUCUGUAUAAAACUAUAUGCUUUGAUCAACUCAUCAAAGCGUAUAUUCCAACUCUGAGAUGCUUGCACCAGUCCACAGAUGGAUCGCUUGAGCUUGCAUAUUUUGUUAGCACCUUUAGGAUCGAAAAAACCUUCUGGUUGUAUCAUAUACAACUCUUCUUUAAUAAGUCCAUUAAGGAUUGCAGUUUUGUUAUCCAGUUGCUAGAUUUCAUAAAAUGCGGCAAUUGCUAACAUGAUUCGGACAGACUUUAAGCAUCGAUACGAGUGAGAAAAUCUCAUCGUAGUCAACACCUUGAACUUUGUCAAAAACCCUUUUUGACAAGUCUAGCUUUGUAGAUAGUAACUCUACUAUCAGCGUCCGUCUUCCUCUUGAAGAUCCAUUUAUUUUCUAUGGCUUGCCGAUCAUCGGGCAAGUCAACCAAAGUCCAUACUUUGUUCUCACACAUGGAUCCUAUCUCAGAUUUCAUGGCCUCAGACCAUUUCGCGGAAUCUGGGCUCAUCAUCGCUUCCUCAUAGUUCGUAGGUUCGUCAUGGUCUAGUAACAUGACCUCCAGAAUAGGAUUACCGUACAACUCUGGUGCGGAUCUUACUCUGGUUGACCUAUGAGGUUCGGUAGUAACUUGAUCUGAAGUUUCAUGAUCAUCAUCAUUAACUUCCUCACUAAUUCGUGUAGGCAUCACUGGAACUGAUUUCAGUGAUGAGCUACUUUUCAAUUCGAGAGAAGGUACAAUUACCUCAUCAAGUUCUACUUUCCUCCCACUCACUUCUUUCGAGAGAAACUCCUUCUCUAGAAAGGAUCCAAAUUUAGCAACUAAUGUCUUGCCUUCGGAUCUGUGAUAGAUGGUGUACCCAAUAUUUUCUUUUUGGGUAUCCUAUGAAGACGCACUUCUCCGAUUUGGGUUCGAGCUUAUCAGGUUGAAAUUUUUCACAUAAGCAUCGCAACCCCAAAUUCUAAGAAACGACAACUUGGGUUUCUUGCCAAACCACAGUUCAUAUGGUGUCAUCUCAACGGAUUUAGAUGGUGCCCUAUUAAUCGUGAAUGCAGCUGUCUCUAAUGCAUAACCCCAAAACGAUACUGGUAAAUCGGUAAGAGACAUCAUAGAUUGCACCAUAUCCAAUAAAGUACGGUUACGAUGUUCGUACACACCAUUACGCUGUGGUGUUCCGGAUGGCGCGAGUUGCGAAACUAUUCCGCAUUGUUUCAAAUGAAGACCAAACUCGUAACUCAAAUAUUCUCCUCCACGAUCAGAUCGUAGAAACUUUUCUUGUUACGAUGACUUCACUCUGAAAUUAUAUGAACUUUUCAAAUGUUUCAGACUUAUGUUUCAUUAAGUAGAUAUACCCAUAUCUGCUCAAAUCAUCUGUGAAGGUCAGAAAAUAACGAUACCCGCCGUGAGCCUCAAUACUCAUCGGAUUGCAUACAUCAGUAUGUAUUAUUUCCAGUAAGUCAGUUGCUCGCUCCAUUGUUCCGGAGAACGGAGUCUUAGUCAUCUUGCCCAUAAGGCAUGGUUCGCAAGCAUCAAGUGAUUCAUAAUCAAGUGAUUCCAAAAUCCCAUCAGCAUGGAGUUUCUUCAUGCGCCUUACACCAAUAUGACCUAAACGGCAGUGCCACAAAUAAGUUGCACUAUCAUUAUUAACUUUGCAUCUUUUGGCUUCAAUAUUAUGAAUAUGUGUAUCACUACGAUCGAGAUCCAACAAACCAUUUUUAUUGGGUGUAUGACCAUAGAAGGUUUUAUUCAUGUAAACAGAACAACAAUUAUUCUCUAAUUUAAAUGAAUAACCGUAUUGCAAUAAACAUGAUGAAAUCAUAUUCAUGCUCAACGCAAACACCAAAUAACACUUAUUUAGGUUCAACACUAAUCCCGAAAGUAUAGGGAGUGUGCGAUGAUGAUCAUAUCAAUCUUGGAACUACUUCCAACACACAUCGUCACCUUGCCCUUAACUAGUUUCUGUUCAUUCUGCAACUCCCGUUUCGAGUUACUAAUCUGAGCAACUGAACUAGUAUCAAAUACUGAGGGGUUGCUAUAAACACUAGUAAGGUACACAUCAAUAACAUGUAUAUCAAAUAUACCUUUGUUCACUUUGCCAUUCUUCUUAUCCGCCAAAUACUUGGGGCAAUUCCGCUUCCAGUGACCAGUCCCUUUGCAGUAGAAGCACUUACUCUCAGGCUUAGGUCCAGACUUGGGCUUCUUCACUUGAGCAGCAACUUGCUUUCCGUUCAUCUUGAAGUUCCCCUUCUUCCCUUUGCCCUUUUCCUUGAAACUAGUGGUCUUGUCAACCAUCAACACUUGAUGCUCUUUCUUGAUUUCUACCUUCAUCGAUUUCAUCAUCAUCAAAAACUCGGGAAUCGUUUUCGUCAUCCCUUGCAUACUAUAGUUCAUCACGAAGUUCUACUAACUUGGUGAUGGUGACUAGAGAAUUCUGUCAAUCACUAUUUUAUCUGGAAGAUUAACUCCCACUUGAUUCAAGCGAUUGUAGUAUCCAGACAAUCUGAGCACAUGCUCACUGCUUGAGCUAUUCUCCUCCACCUUUUAGCUAUAGAACUUGUUGGAGACUUCAUAUCUCUCAACUCGGGUAUUUGCUUAAAAUAUUAACUUCAACUCUUGGAACAUCUCAUAUGGUCCAUGAUGUUCAAAACGUCUUUGAAGUCCCAAUUCUAAGCCGUUAAGCAUGGUGCACUAAACUAUCAAGUAGUCAUCAUAUUGAGCUAGCCAAACGUUCAUAACAUCUACAUAUGCUCCUGCAAUAGGUUUGUCACUUAGCGGUGCAUCAAGGACAUAAUUCUUCUGUGCAGCAAUGAGGAUAAACCUCAGAUCACAGACCAAGUCCGCAUCAUUGCUACUAUCAUCUUUCAACUUAGUUUUCUCUAGGAACAUAUAUAAAACAUAGGGAAGCAACAACGUGAGCUAUUGAUCUACAACAUUAUUUGCAAAAUACUAUCAGGACUAAGUUCAUGAUAAAUUAAAGUUAAAUUAAUCAUAUUACUUAAGAACUCUCACUUAGAUAGACAUCCCUCUAAUCAUCUAAGUGAUCACGUGAUCCAAAUCAACUAAACCAUGUCCGAUCAUCACGUGAGAUGGAGUAGUUUUCAAUGGUGAACAUCACUAUGUUGAUCAUAUCUACUAUAUGCUUCACGCUCGAUCUUUCGGUCUCCAGUGUUCCGAGGCCAUAUCUGCAUAUGCUAGGCUCGUCAAGUUUAACCUGAGUAUUCCGCGUGUGCAACUGUUUUGCACCCGUUGUAUUUGAACGUAGAGCCUAUCACACCUGAUCAUCACGUGGUGUCUCAGCACGAAGAACUUUCGCAACGGUGCAUACUCAGGAAGAACACUUAUAUCUUGAAAUUUAGUGAGAGAUCAUCUUAUAAUGCUACCGUCGAUCCAAGCAAAAUAAGAUGCAUAAAAGAUAAACAUCACAUGCAAUCAAUAUAAGUGAUAUGAUAUGGCCAUCAUCAUCUUGUGCUUGUGAUCUCCAUCUUGAAGCACCGUCAUGAUCACCAUCGUCACCAACGCGACAUCUUGAUCUCCAUCGUAGCAUCGUUGUCGUCUCACCAACUAUUGCUUCUACGACUAUUGCUACCGCUUAGUGAUAAAGUAAAGCAUUACAGGGCGAUUGCAUUGCAUACCAUAAAGCGAAAACCAUAUGGCUCCUGCCAGUUGCCGAUAACUCGGUUACAAAACAUGAUCAUCUCAUACAAUAAAAUAUAGCAUCAUGUCUUGACCAUAUCACAUCACAACAUGCCCUGCAAAAACAAGUUCGACGUCCUCUACUUUGUUGUUGCAAGUUUUACGUGGCUGCUACGGGCUGAGCAAGAACCGUUCUUACCUACGCAUCAAAACCACAACGAUAGUUCGUCAAGUUAGUGAUGUUUUAACCUUCUCUCGGACCGGGUGUAGCCACACUCGGUUCAACUAAAGUUGGAGAAACUGUCACCCGCCAGCCACCUGUGUGCAAAGCACGUCGGUAGAACCAGUCUCGCGUAAGCGUACGCGUAAUGUCGGUCCGAGCCGCUUCAUCCAACAAUACCGCCGAACCGAAGUAUGACAUGCUGGUAAGCAGUAUGACUUGUAUCAUCCACAACUCACUUGUGUUCUACUCGUGCAUAUAACAUCUACGCAUAAAACCUGGCUCGGAUGCCACUUUUGGGGAACGUAGUAAUUUCAAAAUUUUCCUACGCACACACAGGAUCAUGGUGAUGCAUAGCAAUGAGAGGGGAGAGUGUGUCCACGUACCGUCGUAGACCGAAAGCGGAAGCGUUAGCACAACGCGGUUGAUGUAGUCAUACGUCUUCACGAUCCGACCGAUCCAAGUACCGAACGCACGGCACCUCCGAGUUCAGCACACGUUCAGCUCAAUGACGUCCCGCGAACUCUGAUCCAGCAGAGCUUCAUGGGAGAGUUCCGUCAGCACGCCGGCGUGAUGACGGUGAUGAUGUUGCUACCGGCGCAGGGCUUCGCCUAAGCACUGCUACGAUAUGACCGAGGUGGAAUAUGGUGGAGGGGGGCACCGCACACGGCUAAGAGAUCAAGAGAUCAAUUGCUGUGUCUCCAAGGAGUGCCCCCUCCCCGUAUAUAAAGGAGUGGAGGAGGGGGAGGGGGCCAGCCUCCCUACGCGCGCCCCAUGAGGAGUCCUACUCCCACCGGGAGUAGGACUCCCCCCUUCCAAGUGGGAGUAGGAGAGGAGAGGGAAGGAGAGAGAGGGGGAAAGGAAAGGGGGGCGCCGCCCCCUCCUUGUCCAAUUCGGACAGGGGGGAAGGGGGCGCGCGGCUGCCCUUGGCCGCCCCUCCUCUUCUCCACUAGGGCCCAAUAGGCCCAUUAGUCUCCCCGGGGGGUUUCGGUAACCCCCCUGUACUCCGGUAUAUGUCCGAAACUCCCCGAAACCAUUCCGGUGUCCGAACAUACUCAUCCAAUAUAUCGAUCUUUACGUCUCGACCAUUUCGAGACUCCUCGUCAUGUCCGUGAUCACAUCCGGGACUCCGAACUACCUUCGGUACAUCAAAACACAAAAACUCAUAAUACAAUCGUCAUCGAAACUUUAAGCGCGCGGACCCUACGGGUUCGAGAACUAUGUAGACAUGACCGAGACAUGUCUCCGGUCAAUAACCAAUAGCGGAACCUGGAUGCUCAUAUUGGCUCCUACAUAUUCUAUGAAGAUCUUUAUCGGUCAAACCGCAUAAUAACAUACGUUGUUCCCUUUGUCAUCGGUGUGUUACUUGCCCGUGAUUCGAUCGUUGGUAUCUCAAUACCUAUUUCAAUCUUGUUACCGGCAAGUCUCUUUACUCGUUCCGUACUGCAUCAUCCCGCAACUAACUCAUCAGUCACAUUGCUUGCAAGGCUUAUAGUGAUGUGCAUUACCGAGAGGGCCCAGAGAUACCUCUCCGACAAUCGGAGUGACAAAUCCUAAUCUCGAAAUACGCCAACUCAACAAGUACCUUCGGAGACACCUGUAGAGCACCUUUAUAAUCACCCAGUUACGUUGUGACGUUUGGUAGCACACAAAGUGUUCCUCCGAUAAACGGGAGUUGCAUAAUCUCAUAGUCAUAGGAACAUGUAUAAGUCAUGAAGAAAGCAAUAGCAACAUACUAAACGAUCAAGUGCUAAGCUAACGGAAUGGGUCAAGUCAAUCACAUCAUUCUCCUAAUGAUGUGAUCCCGUUAAUCAAAUGACAACUCAUGUCUAUGGCUUAGGAAACUCAACCAUCUUCGAUUAACGAGCUAGUCAAGUAGAGGCAUACUAGUGACACUAUGUCUAUGUUUCCGGUUAAUACAAUUCUAGCAUGAAUAAUAAACAUUUAUCAUGUAAUAAGGAAAUAAAUAACAAAUUUAUUAUUGCCUCUAGGGCAUAUUUCCUUCAGAUGUUAGAUGCACCAUCGGAACGAGGGCUAGGCGGGGAGAACCUUAUUCCAUCUUCAGGGUGCCUCCCCGCCUCGCCUUCCUGAGCAGGACACAAACCCUAACAAAACUCGAAAACACAUCUAAAAACGGAGCCCUCCCACCGGCAAAGGCCGGGAUCCGCCGCGCCCCCAUGGCCCUAAGACCACCAAAGACAAGGUGGAUCGGCGGCGGCGCCGGCGGGAGGCGGAGGAACCCUAUGGCAUGCAUAUUACUAUCUAUGUUAUUUCCACUAUGAGUUGUCUAAUCGGGUAUCAAAAGCAUAGUAAUAAUUUAAUAAAAAUGCUGCACCCACUUGAUAAUUAUUACAUGGUUGGUUUCGGGGAGUGAGUCUCAUCGUAACUCGGAUCGUGAGAUUAUGCUUAUACAUUUUCGGCACUCCCUCCGCCCAGGUUUAUAGUUCUGGUAAGUUCUUAGGUGUUUAAACUAACAAAGCAUGAUUUAUAUGACUUUAAGAUAUAUGUUUAUAAAUUUUAUUAGAAUAAGGACAUAGUGAUAUGCUUUUGAUCAUAUAUAAAACAUGUUUUGUUAGUCAAACAAGGGAUUCACCAAACCCACACCAAUCCAUAAACCAAGCCACAUCAUAUAUAAAACAUGUUUUGUUACUACUGUUUUUUGGUUCUACCAAUUUCGGUCCAUCAAGAGCUUUUGCACAAAACAUAUACAAUUCCAAUUUAGAGAAAAAAGUGUGUGCAACCGGACGCAUACAUGAUUCUCAUCUCUAACGCUAAUGGCCCGCAGGAUCCACAGAGGUAUGGAUCGACUAUAUAGUGGUGUUUUGUACUGAGAAUUAGAUGCAGGAUUUUGGUAAACAAACUUUUGGAAGAUUUUAGGAAAACCAAUUUUGAUUAGUUUCUUUGUCAAGAUAAGCAUGUGCAGUUUCUAGUUUGGAUCAGCAGGUUGUUGCAAUCUACUAUACAUAAAGCUUGUUUUUGUGCAACAACUUUGUUUUUGCAAUCCAUAGAUUAGUUAGGUAAUCCAAACAAGAUCUGAGGUUGUCACACCAGAAGUCAUGCAUGCUUAGGGAGAACUGGUUCUCUAUAAUCCGGACAACCAAACAACCACAUAGUAUGUUGCUGGACACAACACAUGUUUUUUUUUUGCGAAUGCACAACACGUGUUGUUUGGUAGUAUAAUAUUUAGAAAUAACUGACGCAUUCCCUAAAAAGCCACACGGAUUAGCUAAUUCUCAGGCGACUGAGAAUUUCGUAAGUCUCAGUCGACCUGAUCACGGUUGGAUUAGUGUCAAGAUUCGUGCCAAAAACCUAUUUGCUACAUUUUUGGGAGGAACAUCCCACUCUGGGAUUUUUCUUUUAUCUGCUUUGGGCCCAGUGUCUCCUCUAAUUUUUAUUCUUCCAUUUGGGCCAGAUCGAGUUCAUGUACCUGCUUAGGAAAGGAUCUUUUCCGUCGUUCUUUUUUUUCCUUGAAGAAAGCGUACUUAGUGGUCAAGUUUUCUAUUUGGAGCAUUUCAUGCCAUAUUAUGUGCCUUUUUUUUACUUUACUGUUCUUUGUUUAUUUGUCUUAUCAUCUUUUCAUGUAUUAAUUAUUUUAUUUUAAGUAUAACAACAAUUAUAUCAAAAACAAAAAGGAAUGAAAAAACAACCUUAUCAAUUUUUUUAAUAUAAAUAUAUUUUGUAUUUACUUUCUCUAAAGUUACUAAUUGUUUCCUUAAUAAUGCUAAAAAAUAUCUUAUAUUUUUGGUCAUAGUAAAAUUGCAUGAUUUAAUGUGCGUGAAUCGUACUAUUGUAUCUUGAUUUUUUUUCUUGCAUUGCAGUUUUUGAUACAUUGACGUUGCACUUUUUAGUAUAAUCAAGUUGUACUUUUACAUGCAUACGUAUUUAUCUUAUGGAAUAUGUGAUGGUUGCACUUCUCAAUAAUCUCGGCGGUGACAAUGAUGACGCUGAAUAAAGAUUCUUCGGAUCCUUCCCUGACGAAGCAUUCAGUCCUAUCGUUGUGGAUGGAUUUGGAAACCAGUUGGUUCAAGUAAGGAUGGCGUGGCGGCGACGCCAUCCUCGUGGUUGACCUGUGUCCUCGGGCUCCUCCGUUGCGACGAAGUUUGCUCCAACGUUGGCAUGGAGCUUGGGAGGUAGUUCAGGAGCGGAUGCAGAUUGUGGUCUGCAUCGACGACAUCUGGAAGACGGAAUGUGUGCUGAGUUCGUGGUUUAUGGAUGGCAGGUAUGGUUUCCUCCUUCGGCAUCUUGGUCAUGGUUAGGUGCCAGAUUUGGAGUUCGGUGGCGUGUCCGGGGUGUUGCCCCGGUCUUAUUCAUUCAACGGCUGGCAAGGGCUUCACUUUUGGUGAGCCACCUUAGAGGUCCGCAAAGCUGCAUAUCAGCGAUGGAGCCGCGUCGAGCUCAGGUUAGGAUGUGAUCCGUCAUUCUUUUCUUCGAUGGCUGCUGUGGUGGUGCCGGAGGCAGGUGACAGGCGUUAGUAUUAAGCUCAGAGAUGUUCUGCUAUCUUUUCAGUUUUGUCAUGUCGGUCCUUACGUGACCUGUACUUUGAUCUUUAUGAUAUGAAUGAGACACGUAUUAACAUGCAAAAUAAUAAUAAUCUCAAUUUACAUCUUUCUAGAAAUGUUCAACUACCUAACAACUAGUUUCUUCACAUGCCAUUUGUAUUUUCCCACACUUCUAAAUAAAUUCAAAUUGCACUUUUUUCGGAAAUGUGCAACUACCUACUUUCAUAAAGUGCAACCGAAAUUUUUACAUUUUAUAUCUAAUUUUCUCUUCUAGAUUAAGAACUACUUACACUUUUUAACAAACUAAACUAAAUUUGUACUUUUUAAGAAAUGUAUUUCUUCAUAAAGGCACACCCACGCUCAUGAGUGUAUUGUGUAUCAAAACAUCAUGAACGCAUACGCUCGCCAAAGGCACGUCUCGUGCCUCUUCCUUGUCUUUUAUUUUUCACAAUCUCCGUGGUACAAAGUGGCAGCUCUAUGCAUAACACGCAUGGACCCUGGCUAGCUUACCUAGCCGGGUUCAGACUUAUAUGGACUUAAAUACAAACCCAAAUGAUAAAUGUCAUACGUGUGUCACGAAGCACUCCGGUCCUGACGGGUUUUACAACUAAAGCUGCCACACGAAAAGAAAAACAAACCCCUAAAAAAACUGAAACUUGCCAUCCGAAAAGAUAGUUGUUAUACUUGACAACGCAUGCUUGACUAAAAUUGCUAUCCUCGCGUCACUAAACUUGCCAUAAAAAAUACUCGAAACUGCCAUUUGUUUGUGCCACAUGCGUGACACUUAUCAGAGUCCAAUACAAAACCAACCACCGGUAGGUUCUACACGUAGCGUGUACCGGUACUCCAAUCCUAAUAAGUUCCUAACUGCACUCUGAGAAAAAAAACAUUCAAAAAUUUCUAUCGUGUGAAGUACACGGCAACAGUGAACACUAUUAGACAGUACUCGGUAUCUACCGAUCGGGCAGUUGAUCGCUAGUUUUGCUUGGUGGAAGCCCCGAUGGGGGUAGUGCCAUGGCGAGAUGGCGUGGGUCUACGCAUCGGGAAAGAUAAGCCAGGCCACGGCUUUUUUAUACGCGCCGCAUCGGCUGUCCACAAGACUCAACCUGCCAGCUUUUCAAUAACAAAUGAUUCUGAUUUUGUAUUUCUGCGUUCUUCAUUAUUGAAGUAUUUAGGCUGCACCAAACUAAUGGAAUAUAUGCAUGCACUAGUAAAAAAAGUUUCGAAAAGAUGUUUUUUUGGGNNNNNNNNNNNNNNNNNNNNNNNNNNNNNNNNNNNNNNNNNNNNNNNNNNNNNNNNNNNNNNNNNNNNNNNNNNNNNNNNNNNNNNNNNNNNNNNNNNNNNNNNNNNNNNNNNNNNNNNNNNNNNNNNNNNNNNNNNNNNNNNNNNNNNNNNNNNNNNNNNNNNNNNNNNNNNNNNNNNNNNNNNNNNNNNNNNNNNNNNNNNNNNNNNNNNNNNNNNNNNNNNNNNNNNNNNNNNNNNNNNNUUCAUGCUAUUUUUUUUUCAUUUUCCUGAUUAUGCCUAGCUACACAUUUAAGUGAAUUCAAGUUGCGCUUUUUUCAAUAAUGUGCAACUACCCACUUAUGUAAAAUAUGUGUUGUUUGGUAUAAUGUUAGAUAUAUUGGUACCGAACAGAGUUGCCGGAAUUCCAUAUCCGCCGUUGUGGGAUGGGUAGGUCGGUGGCAGCGGGGCACUAAAGGCACCGUGCACAGAUGAUUGUCGUCGGCGGUGAGUCUACCAGGGGCGAUCGAAAGAGGGGCAUCGGCGAAGACGUGCAUUGGGGUUUCUUGGACUGAGGUAGCUAAGGUGGGUGGCUCGCUUCUCGAUUUUGAGCCGAGGGAUCCACAUAGUAGGGCUUGCUAUAUGUAAAGGGGAGGGAAAAGAGAUGCCUGUGAGACGCCAUUGGUUAUGUUGCUUUGGGUUAUGUAGGCGGCCACGUGCAUCUUUGGUGUCAGUCACCGACCCUGGAGGCAGAUGAUGACUACGACCCCGCUAGGAGGAGGGUUUUCCAUUUUUGACAUGUGGAGGAGGGUUUCCUUUGCCUAAGCUUGUAAAGAAGUAGUGUAAUACAGUCAUCAACAAAUCGUAUUUUGAAAAUACUCUUCAGUGUUUGUUUUUGUUUUUGGUAUAGUAUUUUUAAGUACCUAGUUGCACGUUCUGUACAGUUAAGUUGCACUUUUUCGCUACUUAAAUUUUUAGCCAAAGUGUAAUGGGCUAUUUUUAUUUACAGAGGGAGUACCUAUGAAUUUUCUGUUUUUCAUUUCCACCUAGUCUUUAUUCAAGUCAGAGCUAUGUUUUGUUCUGGUUUUCAGAAAUAGUACGCUACUAAUACCCAAUCAAAUUCAUAAACUGAAGCUAGCCUACCUAAAAGCCCACAUCCACCCAAAACGUACAAAUACAAGCAAAAAACUGAAGUGGCCGUAGGAUUAAGUUUUUCAAAAUAUUUAAAAAUAGGGUCAUUUUUCCAAACACAAACAGUUUUUGAAAAUUUCUCAAUAUUUUAUGAAUAUGUGAAUAAAUUGUGAAAAUAGGACUUUUUUUGAAAUUUCAAAUAAAUUUAUUCUGAACAUUUUUGAAAGCACGAAUAUUUUUUAAAAAUAUGUGAAUUUUUUCGAAAGCAGAAAUAUGUUUUGAGCUUUAUAAAUUAAAAGAAUAAAAAUAAAAAGAAGCACGCAUAAAUUUUUAGAAAAAGUAAUAGAAAUAAAAAACUAAAAACAAACAAAUUUGAACAUUAUUGAAAUUUCAAACAAUUCAUGAGCGUUUUCUGAAAUUCUUGAAUUGCAAAAAGGAAAUGAAAAAAUAACACAGAAAAAUAUAUAUGAAAAAAAGAAAACGAAAACCUAGAACCCAGAAAAGAAAAGCCGGUUAAGGAACCGACUAGUAAAAACAGGCUUGGGAGUCUUCCGAAAACCCAUCUCUAUGCUCGUGCCUUCUAAUGGGCUGGGCCCUUAGGAUCGACGCUGCCGGCGAUCGUUCGUUUAUUGCUCGCAGUACGCGACCUAUGGAAAUCACUAAUUGAGGAGCGCUCCUCGCAACGAUUAGUCGGGGAGCGCUCCCCACACGCCAAGUGUUGAGGAUAUAACCAUUAAAGUCACCCGUCCAGGAGGGGCCGGGUUACGUUAUAAUGAUCAUCGCGUGAAGCCCAGUACCAAGCUAGAAGAUGGCGGAUCAAUAAUGGGCUUAAGACCCGGAGGCGGCUUAAGGCCCGUAGUGAUAAACCGCCGUUAUGGCAAGACUUGUAAUGUAAGGCAAGAGUAGUUAAGAGUCCGAGCCGGAUACUGUUAUAAGCCGGCCGGAACUCUGAGAGCCGCGGGGCGUCAACCUCUCUAUAUAAAGGGAUGACCCGGCGGCGGUUCAGGGCGAGAGGCAACAGAUCGAGAGCCAGGCAUAGCGAUUAGCUCCCUGGUCAUCGAAACCCUAAGUAAUACCACCUCAACUGGACGUAGGCUUUUACCUUCACUGUAAGGGGCCGAACCAGUAUAAACCUCGUGUUCCUUGUCCCGCUUAACCCCUUUAAGCUUCCUAGCUGCGAUGGCUCCACGACUAAGUUCUUACACGAGGACAUCUGCUGUGACAAUUCCACGACAGUUGGCGCUCACCGUGGGGCCAGCGCACAGUGGAUUUGAGUUCUUGAAGGGCAGCUUCGAAGGGCUCAAGGGAUACGCUGUGGGCCGGAUGACCAAGAGUCGUCGCGGCAAGCUCUACAUUGACGAUGCAAACUGGGGCCCCGACGCCGGCUCAAUCGAGUACGGGUACCGGGUCCCCUUCGGCGGAAUCCAUGUCUUCAUCGGCAAGAUUGGUGAGCCGGGCCCUGAGCCGGACCUCUGCGCCGAUCUUAUCGAGACGGCUCAGCGUGCACGACCUGCCCGGACUCCGCCUGCCUCGAAGCAUGCUUUCGUGGGAUGCAUGCAUGGAGGACUCUCUGAAGGAUCUGGAUCUGGCGAUGAGACGGCCGCUUGCUCUGACGGCGAGUCAUCCACAGAGGUGACCGACUCGUUAUACCAACUUCAAGAUGGCAGGCUCAGGGGUUGUUCCGAUGGAGACAGUAUUCCGGACCCCUUUGAGCCGCCGAGCCGGGUUGGAAUCUUUAUGGCCGGGGCACAACCUGUUCAAAACCCCGCCGCCGGGGCAGGAGGCCCUGUGCACUCGCCGGCUCAGGUGCUAAUGGAUCUCACAGACAAGAUGACGGCCCUGUUGACCGCUACGGUCGCCCCAGCGGAUCAGGCUCAACAUGAUGCGGAGGUGGCACAGUUAAAGCUGGAUCUAGCAAAAGCCAAGGAGGAUCUGGCGGCGGAAGGGAUCAGGAUGGCCGCAGAGAGGGCGGCUCUCGACACCCAGACUCAGCUGAUUCAGGCGCAGUCUUUCCGGCUCACGAUGGAUCAGAACACAUCCAAUGAGAUCAUGAGAAGGAGGCAUCAGAAGGCUCAAUCUCGACUCCCUCCAGUUUACGAUCCUCGAAACCUUUUCAACACGCCUGGUGCAGGGCCCAGUAACCUGCCAGAGAUCACGACACCCGGGGCUGGAACGCCGGUUCAGCCGCAGGUGAUGGGGCCUCCCCGCGUGAACACCACCCCGCCUCAGUACAUGCCAAUACCACCGGGUCAUUAUGCCAACCCGUUGGAAAACAUGGUCGCCGCUGCGGCGCGACUGGCGGCUCUCCCAAUCGAGGGCGACUCUCCAACAGCGGUCAAAACCCGCCGGGUCAGAGAACUUCUUCAGACGGCUCUGGCGCAACAGGAGGCAUAUUCUUAUAGCCGGGACAGGAUUCAUUCAACCCCUCGUCCAGGCCGGAGCCCUAGUUAUAGCAGGCACAUGGUCUCAGCGACCGGCUCAAGCAAUGUCCGACGCUGUGACUUGCCUCCUGGCCACAGCCCGGUUCAUAAUGGAGCCUUUAACGCGGUAGACCAAGACAGAGCACGGCAAGAGGCGGAGUAGGCGCCUCAGUUGAUGGCUUAUCAGCCCCUCCCGGUUUAUCCGACAGCUUCUAUCGAAGCGGGUGUACCUGCGAGGACCGGGGGUGUCCCUUGUCUGGUGCCGGCUCUCCGUAAUGAACGUCUACCCAAAGAUUUCAAAGGACCUAGGAAGGUACCUAACUAUACAGCCGAUUUACAGCCUGGAGCAUGGAUUGAGAGCUACGAGAUGGCCAUGGAGUUGCUAGAGGUCAGCGAAGCGGCAAUGGCCAAAUACUUGACCAUGAUGUUGGAUGGAACUGCCCGCACUUGGUUGAAAGGACUGCCGCCUAAUUUGAUCGGGUCAUGGGCAGAGCUAAAAGCCCGUUUCAUCCAAAACUUCAAGGAUACAUGUAGGCAAUCUAUGUCAAUUGUGGAUUUGACUAACUGCAAGCAGCAAGAGGGCGAGUCCACAACCCAUUGGGUCCGUCGGGUCAAAGAGAUAAUACAUUCGUCUGAUAAGAUGGAUGCCGGCUCUGCAGUUUUAAUGUUGGAGCAAAAUUGUCGUUUUGCACCCCUGAAGAUGAAGCUCGGGCGGCUCAAGCGCGACUGCAAUGAUAUGGGUACGCUGAUGGCGGCUCUGGUCAAGUACGCCGACUCUGAUAGUACCAAGGAUCCCGCGUCGGACGAUGAAAGGACAGGGAAGGGAAAGAAGAACGGCAAUGGCAAGGGCCCUCAGCAUAACCCGGCGAACCAGGGAGGGAACAAGCGUAAGGCCGAUGGCAGCAUAGAGUUUGUGGCCAACGCCAAUUCACAGGGUAACAACCACCGACGUAAGGGGAGACCACCUCCCCGAGCCGGCGGGUCAGGCCCGACGCUUGAGCAGUUGUUGAAUGAGCCUUGUCCAAGGCAUGGCUCUAGGGAGAAGCCGGCCACUCAUCUAUGGAAGGACUGCGCAAUCAUGAAGGCCUUCAAAAAUUUCAAUGCUUUUAAUGGCAACAAAGGGCCAGGCGGCGGCUCAGGCGCCGACGGCUUUCAUGGCCCGGGCGGCGGCUCAAAUUCCAAUUCUCAGAACUUUCAAGGGGGCUUUAAUCAACAGUCCGGCCAGGGUCAACAGCAGCAGCAGCAGGGGGGAUACCAGACCAACCCAAAGCAGCUCAAUGGCGGGCAGUAUCAUGUAUUUGUUGGGGAACGUAGUAAUUUCAAAAAAAUUCCUACGCACACGCAAGAUCAUGGUGAUGCAUAGCAACGAGAGGGGAGAGUGUUGUCCACGUACCCUCGUAGACCGAUAGCGGAAGCGUUAACACAACGCGGUUGAUGUAGUCGUACGUCUUGACGAUCCGACCGAUCAAGUACCGAACGCACGGCACCUCCGAGUUCUACACACGUUCAGCUCGAUGACGUCCCUCGAACUCCGAUCCAGCCGAGUGUUGAGGGAGAGUUUCGUCAGCACGACGGCGUGGUGACGAUGAUGAUGUUCCACCGACGCAGGGCUUCGCCUAAGCUCCGCAACGGUAUUAUCGAGGUGUAAUAUGGUGGAGGGGGGCACCGCACACGGCUAAGAGAUCUCAAGGAUCAAUUGUUGUGUCCAUGGGGUGCCCCCUGCCCCCGUAUAUAAAGGAGCAAGGGAGGAGGAGGCCGGCCCUAGGAGGGGGCGAACCAAGUGUGGAGUCCUACUAGGACUCCCUAGUCCUAGUAGGAUUCCACCUCCCAUAUGGAAUAGGAAAAGAGGAAGGGAAAAAGAGAAGGAAGGAAGGGGGCCCCCCCUUCCCUAGUCCAAUUCGGACCAGACCAAGGGGAGGGGUGCGGCCACCCUUGAAGCCCUUUUCCUUCUUUCCCGUAUGGCCCAAUAAGGCCCAAUACGUAUUCCCGUAACUCUUCGGUACUCCGAAAAAUACCCCAAUCACUCGGAACCUUUCCGAAGUCCGAAUAUAGUCGUUCAAUAUAUCGAUCUUUACGUCUCGACCAUUUCGAGACUCCUCGUCAUAUCCCCGAUCUCAUCCGGGACUCCAAACUCCUUCGGUAAAUCAACAUACAUAAACUCAUAAUAAAACUGUCAUCGUAACUUUAAGCGUGCGGACCCUACGGGUUCGAGAACUAUGUAGACAUGACCGAGACACGUCUCCGGUCAAUAACCAAUAGCGGGACCUGGAUGCCCAUAUUGGCUCCCACAUAUUCUACAAAGAUCUUUAUCGGUCAGACCGCAUAACAACAUACGUUGUUCCCUUUGUCACCGGUAUGUUACUUGCCCGAGAUUUGAUCGUCGGUAUCUCGAUACCUAGUUCAAUCUCGUUACCGGCAAGUCUCUUUACUCGUUCCGUAACACAUCAUCCCGCAACUAACUCAUUUAGUCACAAUGCUUGCAAGGCUUAUAGUGAUGUGCAUUACCGAGUGGGCCCAGAGAUACCUCUCCGACAAUCGGAGUGACAAAUCCUAAUCACGAAAUACGCCAACCCAACAAGUACCUUUGGAGACACCUGUAGAGCACCUUUAUAAUCACCCAUUUACGUUGUGACGUUUGGUAGCACACAAAGUGUUCCUCCGGUAAACGGGAGUUGCAUAAUCUCAUAGUCAUAGGAACAUGUAUAAGUCAUGAAGAAAGCAAUAGCAACAUACUAAACGAUCGGGUGCUAAGCUAACGGAAUGGGUCAAGUCAAUCACGUCAUUCUCCUAAUGAGGUGAUCCCGUUAAUCAAAUGACAACUCAUGUCUAUGGCUAGGAAACAUAACCAUCUUUGAUUAACGAGCUAGUUAAGUAGAGGCAUACUAGUGACACUCUGUUUGUCUAUGUAUUCACACAUGUAUUAUGUUUCCGGUUAAUACAAUUCUAGCAUGAAUAAUAAACAUUUAUCAUGAUAUAAGGAAAUAUAUAAUACUUUAUUGUUGCCUCUAGGGCAUAUUUCCUUCAGUCUCCCACUUGCACUAGAGUCAAUAAUCUAGUUCACAUCGCCAUGUGAUUUAACAUCAAUAGUUCACAUCACCAUGUGAUUAACACCCAUAGUUCACAUCGUCAUGUGACCAUCACCCAAAGGGUUUACUAGAGUCAGUAAUCUAGUUCACAUCGCUAUGUGAUUAACACCCAAAGAGUACUAAGGUGUGAUCAUGUUUUGCUUGUGAGAUAAUUUUAGUCAACGGGUCUGUCACAUUCAGAUCCGUAAGUAUUUUGCAAAUUUCUAUGUCUACAAUGCUCUCCAUGGAGCUACUCUAGCUAAUUGCUCCCACUUUCAAUAUGUAUCUAGACCGAGACUUAGAGUCAUCUAGAUUAGUGUAAAAAAUUGCAUCGACGUAACCCUUUACGACAAGCCUUUUGUCACUUCCAUAAUCGAGAAACAUAUCCUUAUUCCAGUAAGGAUAAUUUUGACCGCUGUCCAGUGAUCUACUCCUAGAUCACUAUUGUACUCCCUUGCCAAAAUCAGUGUAGGGUAUACAAUAGAUCUGGUACACAGCAUGGCAUACUUUAUAGAACCUAUGGCCGAGGCAUAGGGAAUGACUUUCAUUCUUUUUCUAUCUUCUGCGUGGUCGGGUUUUGAGUCUUACUCAAUUUCACACCUUGUAACGCAGGCAAGAAACUCUUUCUUUGACUGUUUCAUUUUGAACCACUUCAAAAUCUUGUUAAGGUAUGUACUCCUUGAAAAAACUUAUCAAGCGUCUUAAUCUAUCUCUAUAGAUCUUGAUGCUCAAUAUGUAAGGAGCUUCACCGAGGUCUUUCUUUGAAAAACUCCUUUCAAACACUCCUUUAUGCUUUGCAGAAUAAUUCUACAUUAUUUCCGAUAAACAAUAUGUCAAUCACAUAUACUUAUCAGAAAUUCUGUAGUGCUCCCACUCACUUUCUUGUAAAUACAGGCUUCACCGCAAGUCUGUAUAACACUAUAUCCUUUGAUCAACUUAUCAAAGUGUAUAUUCCAACUCCGAGAUGCUUGCACCAGUCCAUAGAUGGAUCGCUGGAGCUUGCAUAUUUUUUUAGUACCUUUAGGAUUGACAAAACCUUCUGGUUGCAUCAUAUACAACUCUUCUUUAAUAAAUCCAUUAAGGAAUGCAGUUUUGUUUAUCUAUUUGCCAUAUUUCAUAAAAUACGGCAAUUGCUAACAAGAUUCAGACAGAUUUAAGCAUAGAUACGAGUGAGAAACUCUCAUCGUAGUCAACACCUUGAACUUGUCGAAAACCUUUUUGCGACAAUUCUAGCUUUGUAGAUAGUGAUACUACUAUCAACGUCCGUCUUCCUCUUGAAGAUCCAUUUAAUCUCAAUGGCUCGCCGAUCAUUGGGCAAGUCAAUCAAAGUCCAUACUUUGUUCUCAUAUAUGGAUCUUAUCUCAGAUUUCAUGGCCUCAAGCCAUUUCGCGGAAUCUGGGCUCACCAUCGCUUCUUCAUAGUUCGUAGGUUCGUCAUGGUCAAAUAACAUGACCUCCAGAACAGGAUUACCGUACCAGUCUGGUGUGGAUCUCACUCUGGUUUACCUACGAGGUUUGGUAGUAACUUGAUCUGAAGUUACAUGAUCAUCAUCAUUAACUUCCUCACUAAUUGGUGUAGGAGUCACAGGAACAGAUUUCUGUGAUGAGCUACUUUCCAAUAAGGGAGCAGGUACAGUUACCUCAUCAAGUUCUACUUUCCUCCCACUCACUUCUUUCGAGAGAAACUCCUUCUCUAGAAAGGAUCCAUACUAAGCAACGAAUAUCUUGCCUUCGGAUCUGUGAUAGAAGGUGUACCCAACUGUCUCCUUUGGGUAUCCUAUGAAGACACAUUUCUCCGAUUUGGGUUUGAGCUUAUUAGGAUGAAACUUUUUCACAUAAGCAUCGCAACCCCAAACUUUAAGAAACGACAACUUUGGUUUCUUGCCAAACCACAGUUCAUAAGGCGUCGUCUCAACGGAUUUUGAUGGUGCCCUAUUUAACGUGAAUGCAGCUGUCUCUAAUGCAUAACCCCAAAACGAUAGUGGUAGAUCGGUAAGAUACAUCAUAUAUCGCACCAUAUCUAAUAAAGUACGAUUACGACGUUCGGACACACCAUUACACCGUGGUGUUCCAGGUGGCGUGAGUAGUGAAACUAUUUCACAUUGUUUUAACUGAAGGCCAAACUCGUAACUCAAAUACUCUUCUCCACGAUCAGAUCGUAGAAACUUUAUUUUCUUGUUACGAUGAUUUUCUACUUCACUCUGAAAUUCUUUGAAUUUUUCAAAUGCUUCAGACUUAUGUUUCAUCAAGUAGAUAUACCCAUAUCUGCUCAAAUCAUCUGUGAAGGUCAGAAAAUAACGAUAUCCGUUACGAGCCUCAAUAUUCAUCGGACCACAUACAUCUGUAUGUAUGAUUUCCAACAAAUCUGUUGCUCUCUCCAUAGUUCCGGAGAACGGUGUUUUAGUCAUCUUGCCCAUGAGGCACGGUUCGCAAGCAUCAAGUGAUUCAUAAUCAAGUGAUUCCAAAAUCCCAUCAGUAUGGAGUUUCUUCAUGCGCUUUACACCAAUAUGACCUAAACGGCAGUGCCACAAAUAAGUUGCACUAUCAUUAUUAACUUUGCAUCUUUUGGCUUCAAUAUUAUGAUUUAUGUGUAUCACUACGAUCGAGAUCCAACAAACCAUUUUCGUUGGUGUGUAUGACCAUAGAUGGUUUUUAUUCAUGUAAACAGAACAACAAUUGUUCUCUAACUUAAAUGAAUAACCGUAUUGCAAUAAACAUGAUCAAAUCAUAUUCAUGCUCAAUGCAAACACCAAAUAACACUUAUUUAGUUUCAACACUAAUCCCGAAAGUACAGGGAGUGUGCGAUGAUGAUCAUAUCAAUCUUGGAACUACUUCCAACACACAUCGUCACCUCGCCUUUUACUAGUCUCUGUUUAUUCUGCAACUCCCAUUUCGAGUUACUACUUCCAACGAUUCAUCUCAGCAGUUCAGUAUCAGUGCCAAUCUGGUUCCGAAAUAGGAAGGCGCGCUCAUCGAGUUCAUCCGUGAGAACAGGGACAUUUUUGCAUGGAAACCUUCUGACAUGCCGGGUGUACCUAGAGAACUCGCUGAGCACACUCUCAAUAUUGAUCCGAAAUUUAAGCCCGUUAGGCAAUUCCUCCGGCGGUUUAAUGAGGAGAGGCGGAAAGCCAUUGGUGAGGAGGUAGCCCGGCUCUUGGCGGCCGGGUUUAUUGUUGAAGUUUUUCAUCCAGAAUGGUUAGCUAACCCGGUGCUCGUGCUCAAGAAGAACGGCACCUGGCGGAUGUGUGUGGACUACACGGAUUUAAACAAGGCUUGUCCGGUUGAUCCUUUUGCUCUCCCCCGUAUUGAUCAAAUUAUUGAUGCUAAGGCGGGUUGUGAGCGCUUAAGUUUUUUGGAUGCUUAUUCUGGAUACCAUCAGAUUAAAAUGGCAGUUAAGGACCAGGAGAAGACGGCGUUCAUCACUCCCUUUGGAGCCUUCUGUUAUGUGUCUAUGCCUUUUGGAGUCAAGAGUGCACAGGCGACUUACCAGCGUUGUGUGCAGAAUUGUCUUCAUAACCAGAUUGGGCGCAACGUUCAUGCCUAUGUGGAUGAUAUCGUGGUUAAAUCCAGGGAGAAGGAGACCUUGGUAGAUGAUCUUAGAGAAACCUUUGAUAAUCUCCAGGUUUACAAGAUGAUGCUUAACCCGGCCAAGUGUGUUUUUGGUGUUCCCGCAGGCAAGCUCUUGGGUUUUCUGGUUUCUCACAGAGGCAUUGAAGCUAACCCGGAAAAGAUCAAAGCAAUCACCUCUCUGGCUAAGCCGGCGUGCAUAAACGACGUCCAGCGUCUGGCGGGUUGCAUCGCCGCUUUGAGCCAGUUUAUAAGCCGUUUGGGUGAAAAGGCCAUGCCACUGUACCAGAUGAUGAAGAAAACAGAUGACUUUAUCUGGAAUGAUGCUGCUAAUGCUGCUUUUGAGGAUUUGAAGAGACAGCUGGCUGAGCCCCCAGUCCUUGCUGCUCCUGUUGACAAGGAGGCCUUAUUGCUGUAUGUAGCCGCUAACACACGAGCCGUCAGUGUGGCUGUGGUGGUGGAGCGUAAGGAAGCGGGUAAGGAGUAUCCGGUUCAGCGGCCGGUUUACUACGUCAGCGAAGUACUCAUUGAGUCCAAGCAACGGUAUCCACAUUGGCAGAAGCUUGUUUAUGGGGUAUUCAUGGCAAGCCGGAAGCUUAAGCAUUAUUUCAAGGGUCACCCUGUCACUGUAGUUAGUUCUGCUCCCCUAGGAGAUAUCAUCCAAAACAGAGAAGCCACAGGAAGAGUGGCUAAGUGGGCUAUAGAACUUGGGCCUCAUGGUCUGAAAUACGUGCCACGCACUGCUAUCAAAUCUCAAGCUUUGGUGGAUUUCAUCAACGAUUGGACAGAGUUGCAGGCGCCUGAAGGGAAACCGGAUAAUACAUACUGGACUAUUCACUUCGACGGGUCUAGACAAUUGGAGGGCUCGGGGGCUGGAGUUGUAUUAACUUCCCCUCAAGGUGACAAGUUUUGCUAUGUGCUACGGUUGAUGUUUCCCUGUACUAACAAUGCGGCUGAGUACGAGGCCUUGCUCCAUGGUCUUCGGAUGGCCAAGGAGAUGAGCUUGAGCCGGGUAAGGUGCUUUGGCGACUCAGAUUUAGUGGCCCAACAAGUGUCAGGCAAGUGGGAUUCCAAGGACCCUCUCAUGGCGGCUUAUCACCGCGAAGUUGAUGCCAUUGCUGGACAUUUUCAGGGUUACCAAGUAGAGCACGUCGAUCGCAGGAAGAACGAGGCGGCUGAUGCAUUAAGCCGGUUGGGCUCUCAGCGAAAGCCGGUGCCGCCCAAUAGUACAUUUUGCAUAACCCUUCUGUUAAGUUGCCUACAGAGGAAGACUUGGCUGUUCCUGACCCGGAGGCACAGUUGGUGGCGGGUCUCCACAUUACCCCAGACUGGACAGUACCAUACUUGGCUUACAUGACCCGGGGAGAAUUGCCUGAGGAUGAAACUUUGGCCAGACAAAUAACCCGGCGGUCUAAGUCAAUGAUAAUUAUCAAUGGUGAGAUGCAUCGUCGCAGUGUUACUGGAACUUUCCAGCGUUGUGUUUCCCCUGAGGAAGGUCAAGAAAUUUUACGUGAAAUUCAUGAGGGGGAUUGUGGCCAUCACGCCGGCUCAAAAUCCCUUGUGGCCAAGGCUUUUCGUCAUGGUUUUUAUUGGCUGACGGCUCAUGCUGAUGCAGAGGAUUUGGUCAGUAAAUGUGACGGUUGCCAGAGGUUCUCGCGACGGGCUCAUGUGCCGGCUCAAGAAUUGAGGAUGAUUCCAAUUACUUGGCCAUUUACGGUCUGGGGGCUUGAUAUGGUUGGGCCUUUUAAAAGAUCCAAGGAUAAGAAGACCCACCUCUUGGUGGCAGUCGACAAGUUCACAAAGUGGGUUGAAGCAGAGCCAGUUAGUAAGUGUGACGCAGCCACAGCGGUUCAGUUCAUGAAGAGGGUGAUAUUUCGCUUUGGUUUUCUACACAGCAUUAUAACUGACAAUGGUACCAAUCUUUCUAAAGGCGCCAUGGAGGAGUUUUGUCAACGAGAGCAUAUUCGGCUUGAUGUUUCAUCAGUGGCUCACCCUCAAUCCAAUGGUCAAGCUGAGAGAGCCAAUCAGGAAAUCUUGAAGGGCAUCAAGCCCCGGCUUUUGGUCCCUUUGCAACGGACGCCGGGUUGUCGGGUGGAGGAGUUACCCUCCGUGUUAUGGAGCAUCAAUACUACUCCUAACAGGUCUACGGGUUACACGCCUUUCUUCAUGGUUUAUGGAGCGGAGGCGGUCCUCCCUAGCGACAUCCAUCAUGACUCGCUUCGAGUGGCGGCUUAUGUUGAGGCGGAUAAUGAGCGGGCGCGCCAAGAUGCUCUUGACUUGUUGGACGAACAGCGUGAUGUGGCAGCAGCUCGCUCGGCGAUUUACCAACAAGACCUGCGCCGCUAUCACAGCCGCCGGGUUAAGUCCAGGGUCUUCCAGGAAGGUGAUCUGGUGCUCCGGCUCAUCCAAGAUCAAACAGAUGCACACAAGUUAUCCCCGCCUUGGGAAGGGCCCUUUGUGGUCAGCAAGAACUUGUACAACGGGUCAUACUACCUUAUCGAUGUUUGGGAGCACAAAGAUUCACGUAACUCGGAGGAAGAGACCCGUCGGCCGUGGAACGUAGCUCAGCUUCGGCCUUAUUACACUUAAGCCACCGGCUCUCAUAAUGUACAUAUUUCUACAGCCAUGUAUAUAUUAUGAUAAAUAAUAAAGCAGGACCUCUGUCCUUUUAUCCUCCAAAGGUAAAUGUGUUAUUUCCAUUACAACAUUACAUGGUCACUUGGAGGUGGAUCCGGCUUACGAUCGUAUUCGAAUCUAGCCGUUAACAAUAUGAUCACUUGGGGGCUUCCUGUUCAAACAUAGGUCAUAUUCGAACCAAAGAGAACAUAGCUGUCGAUACCCACUUGAUUGGCAAAUUGCCGAGCUCAUUGGGGAGUUUUUCUUGAUCAUAUUUGAAUCAUAGCUCAACCCCCUUUGGGAACCGACGUGGAUCGUAUUCGAAUCAGCGUCGUUAAACAACUCUUAAAGUCAUUUGGGGGCUUCCUGUUCAAACAUGGGUCGUAUCCGAACCUAAGAGAACAUAGCUGUCGGUACCCUCUUGAUAGGCAACACCAAAGCCACUGGGGGCUAUAUGAUCGCAUUGAAUCUUAGCUUAACCCCUUUGGGACGGUUCUCUGGUCGUAUUCGAACCAGAAGCCCCUAAGUUUUGAUCUUUUGGUUUGCAACAAGUUCUUUUGAUCAUAUCAACAGUGUGCAAGGGUGAUUCUUACUCCACCGCUUAACUUUGACUAACAAUGUUGAUAGCACACAAUAGGCAUUAUCGAUGCUGGUGAACCGGAGUUGAGUUCUCAACCUCAUUGUUUGGGUUACAUAAACCGGAAGUGUACUUGAAGGCUUGCAAGUAUGCUAUUAUGGUUAUCUCGAGGAUGUAAUUGAGAGCCGGUCUUCUAUGACUUUGGUUUAUCUUCCGGGUUAUAUGUAAAAUAUAUGACUCUCAGUGCGGUAAGCCGCCUGGAGACUUGUGAUUUGUUUCCUAUGCAGGACAAUUAGAGACAGCUCUUUAAGCUUACGGAAAGCAAAUGAUCAAACAUAACCCGGAGGAAUAUAAAAGAGCAGCUUCAAUGGAGUUAAGCGCUGCACACGUGCACGAUGGCACGACAAAAUUAAGAGUUUGUCCUAUUCUAUUACAGGACUCCCCGAGUCCAAAAGGUGAGGCAUUGUUUUUAAGGUGUAACCAUGAGCUGCCUAAGUAAUCAAGGUGCUUGUUGGGUUGAAGCUCCCGACUCAUCCCUCUUCGCUCCUCCGGCUGUUUCCAUGACCUGGAAGGUUGAUGAUUUCCAGUCAAUGCCGCUUAAAGCUUCAAAUUGAGCCUCAUCAUCAAUUAACCCGGCCGGGUGAACUUCUGGGGCGAAGGUAUGCUUACGAGUCGGAGGGAUCAGGCUGAUUGCUUCAUAGCGUGGAGUGGGGAUCCUCUGAUUCUCCACGUCAUAGCCCGGCUGAUACUUGGUAAGGUUGGUGUCAUUCCCAAUCAAGGUGGCCACCGGGCACACGCUCUUCACACAGGCGGCAAAAUCUUUCUGGUCAAAGGGGGUGCCGUCUUCCUUCAGGCUGGGGUAUCCAAGAGCGAUGUCGGCCGGGUCUAGCUCCGGUAGAAACGCCUUGGCCCGGCUCAGAGCAGCUAUAGCUCCGGCUCUUGCAGAAGCCCGUCUCAGCUCUUGGAAGCGCCGAGGAAGUACGGCAAGCCGCCUGAGUACGUCUGCCAGGUGAGUGGGAACCUCAUUGGACAGAGCCACAACGGCUAAUGCACGCUGUGACCCGGUGUAGAGUUGCUCCACCAAGGUGUAAACCGCCUUCAGCUUGGUCAGCACGUUCUGAUUGAGAUUGGAGCUUCUGGGCCCUGCAUAAUAAAGUCAGGUGAGCUGAUGGCAAUGGUGGGACUUAUGAGACAUGAAGGAUGAAAACUUAUUAGAAGCUUACAGAAUGACUUACCGAAGAUUGCGGAGACCAUCUGUGACACAUGGCGUUUUAAGCCGGAGAGUUCGGCGGUUCUUUCGGUAAGAGCAGCCUCCGCUUGUUCGGCCCGGCUGAGCAAGGCAGUCUUCUCAUCGGCCCAGGCUUUUCUUUCUGUUUGAAAUUUUUUCUUCAGUUUUUCUUGUGCAGAAAACACUGAACUCAAAUUUGGCAUUGGCCUUUUGGGUCUCAGUUUCCUGAGUCUUCAGGCGGUUCUUCAGAUCAGCGAUUUUCGAUUCAAAUUUCUUGCAGGCAGCCUAUACAAAUUUCGGGUUACAGUUUGAGUGAUUAUCAUGCAACACUAAAGUCCCAAGCACUUUGCAAGCAAAGACACUUGGCACUUGGGGGCUAAUGUAUACUGAAAGGCUCUAUUUACAGUGCUGGUUCAUGAAAGUAAGUCCCGAGCACUUUGCAGGCAGAGUUACUCGGCACUUGGGGGCUAAUGUGCAAAGUUGUUCAACUACUUGAUUAAAACAUAAGGUAAAAGACCGGUGCACAUAGGCUGUUUAACCCGGCCCUUGAGUGUUACUAGGUAAGCCGGUAUUAAGUCUACAACAUAUUCUAUCAUAAGUCAUAGACUUGGGGGCUAGCAUGGUAACGAUGACCAUGGAGUAAGCAAGAGAGUUGUACCUCAGAUUUUUGCUGUAUCUGCUUCACCAUGUCAAUUUCCAGGUCCCGGCUGUUGUGCACUUGACCAAUAUAACCAGCGACAAUGUCUCCAAUGCUCAGAUUGGCAUAGUUAGUAAUGUCCAGCCUGGCUUUGCGGCGUUCCAAAAGUUCCUCCUUAGCGGAGCACUUAGCCAGCACGGUGGGUCUUCCCGGUUCAACAAAUUCAGUCCCGGUAAUCACCACAUCCGGGUCGUCCGGGUGAGCCGAGCUGGGGAUCUCCGGGUUAUCAGAACCCUCCAUAACUUGCUCGUCAGAUGGGGCGGUGGUGGUUUCUGGAGGUGGUGCAGACGGCGGCGACGGCGGCUCAGAGGCAGAGGCGUUGGGUUCAGUCAAGUCCGGUUCUUCGACCGGUUUAUUUUUCUUUGCCCUCUUGCUGAGCUUUGCUUGUGCACUGAAAGUCAAAAGGUUAGUGCAAAAACAUGAGUAAGAUAAGCACAAAAUAAGAUGAUCAUCAUUACCCAGGUGCAGUCUUGAAAGCCGGCAAGUUAGAUUGCAUGGAGUCACCGGAGGAAGGUGAAGUUUCCUGAUAGUUUGAAUCAGAAGAAUUGAGUGGUUGACGAGUGAUGCCCGCCAAAGGAUGAAAAGGAUAUAAGUUGGAGAUAUCGGUCCGGCGAUUCUUUGAUGCUUCUGGUAAGCCGGAGGAGAGGUCUGCAUCCUUGUUGGCCCGGGUUUGCCUCCGGCUCUCAUGAAUCUGUCGCUUCAAAAGAAAUUGAGGAUCUUGAUAAGCUAAAGGAUGGGAAAAUCUUACUUUCCGGGUUACUCUUCGGACUUUCAGCCUUGGCAAGGGCUCCGAGUCGGAGGAAAGUAUAGUUACCUCUUCGAUCACCGGGUUACUCGCUCCGGUGUCCUCCUGCUGAUAAUCAGUGUCAAUAAGGUGGUUAAGAACAAACAAAAAAAAACAAAA
rnacentral:lncRNA from 1 species